rnacentral:rRNA from 1 species
AUGUCUAAAUAUUGGUGGGCUGGAUCACUUGACAAAAGAGGAAUGCAUUGGGAAGCUUGGGAUAAAAUGGCAAUCCCUAAGUCCAAAGGUGGCAUGGGAUUUAGGGAUAUGGAAGUUUUCAAUGAUGCAAUGUUGGCCAAACAGGCUUGGAGACUGUUGGAAUAUCCUAACAUCUUGUGUGCGAGGGUAUUGAAAGGGCGAUACUAUCCAGAUGGCGAGUUCCUUUCUGAUAAUUUCCCCACAAGUGCCUCUCGAACUUGGAAGUCAAUUAUAUGUGGCCGUGAGAUCCUGAAGGCGAGGCUUAUUGGCCAUAUUGGAGAUGGAACGAAGAUGGAGAUAUGGCAUGACAAUUGGAUUGAGGGCAUAAGAACUAUGCACCCAAUAGGGAGGCUCAUUGAUAACCCGGUUUAG